rnacentral:rRNA from 1 species
UACGGGGGGUGCGAGCGUUGUCCGGAUUUACUGGGCGUAAAGGGCGCGUAGGCGGUCAGCACAAGUCAGUUGUGAAAUCUCCGGGCUUAACUCGGAAAGGUCAACUGAUACUGUGCGACUAGAGUGCAGAAGGGGCAACUGGAAUUCUCGGUGUAGCGGUGAAAUGCGUAGAUAUCGAGAGGAACACCUGCGGCGAAGGCGGGUUGCUGGGCUGACACUGACGCUGAUGCGCGAAAGCCAGGGGAGCGAACGGG